rnacentral:rRNA from 1 species
AUUGAACGCUGGCGGCAGGCCUAACACAUGCAAGUCGAGCGGAUGAAGGGAGCUUGCUCCUGGAUUCAGCGGCGGACGGGUGAGUAAUGCCUAGGAAUCUGCCUGGUAGUGGGGGAUAACGUCCGGAAACGGGCGCUAAUACCGCAUACGUCCUGAGGGAGAAAGUGGGGGAUCUUCGGACCUCACGCUAUCAGAUGAGCCUAGGUCGGAUUAGCUAGUUGGUGGGGUAAAGGCCUACCAAGGCGACGAUCCGUAACUGGUCUGAGAGGAUGAUCAGUCACACUGCAACUGAGACACGGUCCAGACUCCUACGGGAGGCAGCAGUGGGGAAUAUUGGACAAUGGGCGAAAGCCUGAUCCAGCCAUGCCGCGUGUGUGAAGAAGGUCUUCGGAUUGUAAGGCACUUUAAGUUGGGAGGAAGGGCAGUAAGUUAAUACCUUGCUGUUUUGACGUUACCAACAGAAUAAGCACCGGCUAACUUCGUG